UUGGCGUGUUCAAGGGCGUCGUCUUUCUGGUGCAUCGGGUCGUGUCGUCUUUGAGGGUGAAUCCAGUGGAGGUCGUCAAGUGGAUAAGGGUUAUCACACGUGAAUAUCACAGAUAGUUGGUAAGUCGGCAGUCAGCGUCGUUAAUAGGAAAUUUUUGGAUCAAAAACAUGGAAUGCAGUAUUAAGAAGAAGACG